AUUGAACGCUGGCGGCAGGCCUAACACAUGCAAGUCGAGCGAGCGGCGGACGGGUGAGUAAUGUCUGGGAAACUGCCUGAUGGAGGGGGAUAACUACUGGAAACGGUAGCUAAUACCGCAUACCAUCAGAUGUGCCCAGAUGGGAUUAGCUAGUAGGUGGGGUAACGGCUCACCUAGGCGACGAUCCCUAGCUGGUCUGAGAGGAUGACCAGACAAACUGGAACUGAGACACGGGCCAGAGUCCUACGGUAGGCAGCAGUGGGGAAUAGUGAACAAUGGGCGCAAGCCUGAUGCAGCCAUGCCGCGUGUGUGAAGAAGGCCUUCGGGUUGUAAAGCACUUUCAGCGGGGAGGGGUUACCCGCAGAGGAAGCACCGGCUAACUCCGUGCCAGCGGCCGCGGUAAUUC
rnacentral:rRNA from 1 species